CACAAGCAUAACUGUGCUAAAUGUGGGUUAACUGUAGUAAAUGUAGGCUAACUGUGCUAACCGUAAGCUAACUGUGCUAAAUGUGGGUUAAGUUUGCUAACUGUAGGUUAAAAUUUGAUUAGAUUAGAUUAGAUUAGAUUAGAUUAGAUUAGAUUAGAUUAGAUUAGAUUAGAUUAAAGUCUUUAUUAUUUAUUAAAGUCAUUACACAGUAAAUAUACACUGCACAAUGAAAUUGAGGUACAGCUCUCCCGUCAGUGCAGAAGAUAAAUAUUCAAUAAGUAACUAAACUAAACAAGGCAUGUACUCAUAAAACAAACAAACAAACAAACAAAGGACAGCAGGGCUAUGGCCCUGUUGUCCUUUGUGAAACUGUCCCUCAGUCUGUUUUCAGCAUCCUGAAACCUCUGCCAGAGGGCAAGAGGUGGAACACCCGGUGUCCUGGGUGUGACCUGUCUUUCAGGAUGCUGCGUGCCUUACUCAGUUCAGCGGGUGCUGUACAGGUCCUGUAGGGAGGGGAGAGGGUGACCGAUGAUCUUCUGGGCCGUGUUAAUGACACUCUGUAGUGCUUUCUGUGUGCCAUGGUGCAGCUGGAAAACCCCAUACAUAAACAAUAUGUCAGCACACUCUCAAUGGAGCAGCAGUAGAAGACAGUUAGCAGCUCCCUCUUUAGGUUGAUCUUCCUAAGGAUCCUCAGAAAGUGGAGCCGCUGCUGGGCUUUAUUCACAACCGCUGAGGUGUUGUAGCUCCAUCUGAGGUCUCCGUCCAUGUGCGCACCCAGGAACUUGAAGCUGUGCACCCCCUCCACAGACUCCCCAUUAAUGCAGAUGGGCUGCAGGUCAGUCUUCCUCCUCCUGUAGUCCACAAUCACCUCCUUUGUUUUGGAGGUGUUGAGGACCAAGUUGUUGUCCUUACACCACUCCACCAGCCUCUGGACCCCCUCCCUGUAGGCAGUCUCAUCACCACCAGAGAUUAGUCCCACUAAAGUGGUGUCAUCCCAGAUUUAACAAUGAUGUUGUCUGGGUGGGUGCUGACACAGUCAUGGGUGUACAGAGUAUAGAGCAGACGACUGAGUACACAGCCCUAUGGGGAACCGAUGUUGAGGCUGAGGGCUGUUGAGAGAUGGGGCCUGACUCUGACUCUCUGUACCCGGUUGGACAGGAAGUCUGUAAUCCAGCAGCAGAUGGUGACUGGGAGUCUGAUGUCCAGCGGUCUGGCAUAGUGUGAGAUGGUGGUGUGGAGCACUGUGCAUGGCAUCUUCUGUUGAUCUGUUCGCUCUGUAAGAAAAUUGAAGUGGGUCGAAUGUGGGUGGGAGGCAAGACGUGAUGAGGCAUCGGACUAGUUUCUCUAAGCACUUCAUGACCACAGGUGUCAGAGCAACUGGUCUGUAGUCGUUAAGACUGUUGAUAGUGGUCUUUUUGGGCAGCGGGACGAUUGUGGCCAACUUCAGGCAUGGUGGGAUUGAAGGACUGGGCCUUGACUCAUUAAAGAUCCUGGUGAAGACCCUGGCCAGCUGGUCUGCACACUCUCUGAGGACCCUCCCGGUCACUCCAUCUGGUCCGGCGGCCUUCCUAGGGUUCACUGCCCUCAGUGUGCACCUCACCACAUGUUACUGCACUGUGAAGCUUGAGCUGUUGCAAUUCAGUGGACAAGCUGUGGCUGCCUCGUGUCCUUUCACCUCGAAGCGUGUGAGCUAGCCUAGCGUCACCCUCUGCAAUCGUGGUGCUGCUGGACUUGAAGUGGGUGAGGUGCUGGAGUCCCUGCCACACCUGGCGCGUGUUGUUCUCGGUGAAGUGAUCCUGAAACUUCCUCCUGUAGGCUGUCUUGGCGUCUCUGAUGCCUCUCCUCAUGUUGGCUCUGGCUGCACUGUACUGCACUCCAUCCCCAGACCUGAGGGCGUCAUCACGUUGCCUCAGCAGUGCCUUAACCUCUUUCGUCAUCCAGGGUUUCUUGUUGGAAUAUACCCAGAGACGUAUGUCAACAUGCAGAAGUUGAUGUAGGAGAGCGCAGAUGAGAUGUAUUCCUAUAAAUCCUGGUGCUCAAACACACUCCAAUCUGUGCUCUCAAAACAGUCCUGCAGCUGGUGUAGUGCACCCUCUGGCCAUAUUUUCACAAUUGUUGUGGUGGGGGGGGCUCUCCUCUUGAACGGGGUGUACACAGGAAUCAGCAGCAUGGACAUAUGAUCUGACAGACCCAGAUGUGGUAGGAGUCUUGCGUUAUAGCCUUUCUGAAUGUUGCUAUAUACAAUACAAGCUUUAUUGUAUAGACUUUGUCCUGCGUGUUUAGACCCCUUAUGUACUUGUAAUUAUUUAUGUAUUCUCACAUUUCUAUGUGUAUAUUAUUAUUAUUAUUAUUACAUACUGAUGCUGCUGCCAUUAUUAGUACUAUAUACUGUUAUUAUAAUGGUGUUAUUAUUAUUAUUAUUAUUAUUAUUAUUAUUAUAGUAGUAGAUACUAUUCUACUAUUAUAUACUGUUUAGUUACAAUAACAUUACCAUCAUAUCAUGGAAUGUAUACGGCCGUUACCAUGACAACGGCAAAUUCACGGGGUAGAUAGACGGGUCUGCAUCUCACAGUCAAAUAUUCCAAGUCCGGGGAACAAUGUCUGUCCACAGUCUCUGCAUUUCUGCACCAGCUGUCGCUGGUAUAGAUGCACAGCUCCCCUCCUCUGCUCUUACCGGAGUCCCUGUUCCAGUCAUGGUGAUGGACCGUGCGACCUGCUAGCUCGGUGCUGCGGUGUGGAUUGUUGUAGCUAGGUCUCCGUUAUUAACAACACACAACAGUCACGGAAACACUUGUUGGUUGCGAUUUGUAGUCUCAACUCAUCGAUCUUAUUCCCCAUAGAUCUGGCGUUGGAGAGGAAAAGGCUGGGAAGCGGCAGUUUAAAUGAUCGUCUCUUUAGCCGCGCCGUGCAGCCUGGCUUUUGCUUCCUUUGUUUUCGGCUCCACUUGGGCUUGCCGCCAGGGAGAACCACCCACGGAGAACCCGGAGUCCUGACUAUAUCCUCCGGUAUGUUGUGGAAGCGGUGAUAUUCUGAUGAGAUCGAGAUCGUCGUUCCACAGCAGAAUCCCAAGCUGAAUAGAUCCUGGCCGCUGAUGGACAAAAAGAAAAUACUUGCAGAAAAGAGGGUACAGGUUCCCGCCCAGAAAAUGAAGGUUGCAGAGCAUCCUCCCCCAAAUGAGCAAUCUGAACCACUUUUACAGCGUUAAUGUCCGCUCAUGUUGAGGAACUGUGGUCUGCUCCAGAGGCCUUCAACAACACCGAUCCCCACUCCUGCACCGCACCCGCAGUGGAAGCACCACGCACAGUGUAUGAGGAAGCAGAAGAGGGGUAAGCACGGAGGUAUCUGAGCGAGGCUAGCAGCUAAGCCACAGAAGCUGGCGAUUCUCCCUAUCUUUCUGGCCUCUCUGACUGGACAACAACUACAUCAGACUACAGAUGUUGUGUUUUUGUGUUUGUGGACACAUAGCUAAACAGCAGCAUUCCAGACGGUGCUAUACAGCUCGACUGGCUAACAUGCUACCAAGACAGAGCUAUUGUAAAGGGAGGUAAGACCCACGGCUGUGGGCUCUGUGUCUACAUCAACGUUGCCUGGUGUUGCGAUGCUCUUCUGUUCAGAAAACACUGUUCCCCAAUGCCGGAGAUCAUGGUUCUGAAGUGCUGGCCGUUCUAUCUACCAAGGGAAUUUACGGCCAUUCUGCUUGUGCAGGACAGGACAGGAACAUUUUUCAAAAGUUAAAACAACAGCCUGAUACUGAAUACAGACAAUGCAAUGAAUGCUUACAUGAGAUUUGAAGUCAGUUAUUAUACAUGUGGUUGGGCUAAGAGGGUUGAGCAUUGGUUGUCAAUGAUGGGGUUAAUAGUGGGUCUCAGGAUGUGGACGGUGGAGCAGUGGGGUACAGGGUUCUGUGCUGUAUAUUGUUUGAGGAGGGCUAGAGUCUUUUCCUAGCCCUGCUCGAGCUAUCUAUCUUGUGUUUAUCUAUCUAUCUAUCUAUCUAUCUAUCUAUCUAUCUAGAUAUCUAUCUAUCUAUCUAUCUAUCUAUCUAUCUAUCUAUCUAUCUAUCUAUCUAUCUAUCUAUCUAUCUAUCUAUCUGUCAGGGUUCUGUCAGGGUUGAAGAAGGUUGUAGAGGUGAGGACCCAAAUGCAGGACUGAUGAGGCACGAAGUUCAGCAAAAGGUAUUUAUUGACUAACAAAAGGCGCUACACAAGGCAGGAUAACCAAAAAUACAAAAAUCUAAAGGAAUUAUGACAUGGCGUGGAAAAACAUGGGACAAGACAUGGAAACAUGGAUCUAACAUUAAACGACGCGACAAGGAACAAAAGGAAAGGCAGGGCUAUAUAUACAGGAAAUCAAGUACUUAACAAAAUAAAACAGGAAAUACAAAACACAAUAUGAACAGACAUCAAGACAGAUUCACAAGGAGGCAUGUGAAACAGGAAGCAACUAAACAAAAUAAAACAGGAAACUCAAAACCAUGAUCACGAAAUAAAACACAGAAACAUGACACUAUCUAUUAAAGAUUCUUAAAGAUACAUGGAUGUGCUGUAAAGAUGAGCUUCCUGGUGCAGAGACAAGAGCCUGACUGGUGUUCUAAUAAUAUAAUAUUAACCAACAUUGUUGUUGUUGACAUAUAGUAUAUUGUGUUUUCCUGUUAUCUACAUGUGUUUUUUUGUUUUUUUGCCUCUGCACUAUUUAAUUAUUUUUUCCUGUAAUAUUUAAUGUGUAUUUGUUGUAUAUUGAUGUGCUGAAGAAAGAAGUGAUCACUGCUGACAAGUCUUAUUACAAAAAAGAACAAUGUCAAAAACUUGCUGAAUCUGAGAGAGCUUCUGGCCAAUCCUCGAAUCUCCUCUCUUGUUCAGCUCCAACAGUCCCCUUAUAUAUGAUGCUCAUCCCCAAAAACCGCCAUUCAUAAACAAAGAGAACUUAUGUCUAGUUAGUUUUACAAGCUGACAUCUGGUAAAUGACCCUUUGACCCUUAAAUUUUGUACACAUUCCAAACACCCAAAAACAGGAAAAGGGACAGAAGAGAAAAACAAGAAGACCAUAUACUACAUAUUUCCCCCCUUCGAGGCUCAUAGAGUCCUGACCACCAAAAAAAAACAGCACAAAAGUAUUCAUUGUAUUCAUAACAUAAAGAUAUGUUCUUCUUACAGUGUCAGUUACAGCACAACCCUUAACAAUACAACAAAUUCGUGGAGUGUGAGAGCGAAAACCAGGCAGGCAGUCAUCUUUCUUAAAAUGUCCAUCUUUCAAUCUAAACAGGAAAUUCUCUCACGGCCCCUCUGCCUAGGCAACCACACAGUAGUACUACAAGCCUACUAAAAAAGAAGGAUUUCUAAAAUCUAUAUAGAGAAAUAUCUUAACACUUGUAUGGUAUUCGGGUCAAACUGACCCGUUUCAGAUUUUUGCAAGAAGAGAAAUGGUACAAGUACAUUUUUUCUACCUGAAACUCAAUGACCUUUGCUUGUUUUCUGUGAUAAACAUGUAUAAAGAACCAAAAACAAAAUAGCACACAUGCUACUAUACCCCACACAUUUACAUCCUUCAUAUGGUCUUCGGGUCAUUUUGACCCGCAUACACAGACGCACAGAAAUAUGCCCACACAGACACACACAGACACACGCACACAGCACACAGAGCAAUUUUUACAGACCACAAUGUCUCUGAAGAAUUUCCAUGUGUUCAGAUUUGACAACUGGUAAUCAAGACCUGUUAAACGGCGGGGGGACAAGUUGGCAGCAAUCCGCACUGUGUGGGAGCAGUUGGUGGACCGGCUUCCCUGUCUUUAUAACCCUGGGCCCAGUGUAACUGUGGACAAACGGCUUGUGGGGUUUAGAGGCCGCUGCCCUUUCAGGCACUAUUAUGCCCACAAAACCAGCGAGGUAUGGCAUCAAAAUCUGGGCUGCCUGUGACGAUGUUUCAUGUUAUGCAUGGAACAUGCAAAUUUAUACAGGGAAGCUGGAAGGAGGAGCUGCUGAAAGAAACCAGGGGACAAGAGUGGUGCUAGAUAUGUCACAAGGCCUCAGGCCAGAACAUUACCUGUGACAAUUUUUUUUAUAUCGUACAGCCUGGGACAGGAACUUCUCAAAAGAAAGCUAAAAUUGGUUGGAACAGUCCAGAAAAAUAGAACGGAGCUUCCACCUGAGGUUCAAACUGUGGAAAAAAGGCCAGUCCAUUCCUCCAACUUCAUGUUCACAACCAACACUGCCUUGGUAUCUUACAUACCAAAAAAAGGAAAAAAUGUGGUGCUCAUGAGCACUCUACACAGGGAUGGAGGAAUAAGUAGUAGGAUGGACCGUAAGCCAAAGGUCAUACUUGACUACAAUGCUUACCUUAUGACAAAAAGAGUAGUCAUGCUUCCAUUGUUAAUUUUGUUCGAGUAGAGACUGAUUGCAAUCAUUAAACAUGUAUGUUAUUUCAAUUUCAAUUUCAAUUGUUGAAAUUGAGAUGAAGACAAUAUAUGUUAAUGGUUUAUGAAGUAAAAGUUUAUAUUAGAAUUGUUUUUAACACCCCAAAUAUGUCCCGGGUCAAUUUGACCCGAGGGAUACCAGAGGGUCCUAAAAGUGAAGACCAUACGAGGGUUAAGCAGAGUAUAUAUAUGGAUACCUCAGAAAAUAAAUCAAAACCAUAUCCAACAUCAGGCUGGUCGACCUAUCGGACCCUCCAUUGGAUCUCUCCCUACCUAACAUUACUCUCCCAACGCACCCCGAAAAAAAAUACAAUUGAGGUUCAAAUACAUUCACUUUCUUAACAAAUACAUGUCAGUGAUAUACACUGCAACAAACUUUCAAUAUUGGCAAGACAAAAAUAUGUUGCACUGUGAUCUUUUUCCACUUCGAGUCCCACUAUCACUGUAAGGCCUCAUCACAGUGUCCUUGUUCAGGGUCCUUCAGUCCCCAAGCAUCCAGCUUCUCACAGUGAUCCUCCUUCAAUAUCCAUCUCGGAAGAGAGAGGACAGCACACCAGUAUCUUUGCAAACAUUAAAACAAAUGAAAACAAUAUAUAUGAACACAAACAUCAACACACACAUUUCUCCAAAUCUAAAGUCACCCUUAACUACGCCCCACUAUGAUAAAAGACUACAAAACAACCCAUAGCUGAAUACAAUCUUCAAAAUGGGUACAUUUCCAUCAGUUGUCCUUCUACACCAAUUUCCUCAUUAUAUUCUCCCUCAUCAUUUUUAUUCAAUAGUGGCAUCUGAGCUUGAUUUCCAGGCAUCACGACUCCAACCCGCCUCAGUAUUAUAGCCUUUGCAAAAGUCAACACCAAUGUACAAAAACAAAACAUCAAACAUAAUGAUAAAACAACUGCUAUUGAAAUCUGGGCCAGUACUGCUCCCAUUGGACCAAAUUUCUCCUGUAACCAAGCAUUCGCAGACCAGCCAGCUCCCUUUGACUCCCUUUUGGACCAAACGCAUCUCUUAUGUUCCUCAAUGCAUCUAUGACACUUGUCAUAUUGUCUGAUCAGGAAUCAAAGUAUAACAGGCAUCCCCGGUUAAAUUUAAGGCCACACAAAGAGAGCCAUGUUAUGUUUUAACAAUGUCAAUCGAUGACUUUUCUGCGUAUUUGUCAGAUUUUCAAAAUUUGCCAUGGUCCCAUUUGCAAAAGACUGUAGAGUAUAUGUAAUAUUAUCAAUAUGAUCUACCAAAAACGUCACACCAUACCAUGGAAAUAAUCCUAAACCCCACUUUUGUGCUGAACUUAUCCUCCGGUGAAAAGCUUUCAUAGUAUGAAACUGUGCCAAUUCCCUUUUUUCCCUACUUCCAAGAAUAGCGUAGGGUUGAACCUCAUCAAGUGCAUGUCCCUGUUGCAAAGUAAAAACCUCAUAUGGAAGUUUCAGCCUUGCCAAAUAACAACAUCCUGUCCACCCAUAUGGUAAAAAUAUAUAUGCUUUGUCAUCACAGACCCACCAAAGAUCUUUGAAGUUUCCCAUAGUCACAUUUCCUGGCAAAGUCUGAUUCUUCACAAUCAAAGUCCUGCUCUGUCUAUAAUCUGGAGCAUAAAAAGUCACUGUAUAUAGAUCAUCACGCCUUCCAAAAUGCAUCAUAUAUUUGUCACAAUCAGAUAUUCCCAUGAACAUCCCAGGACCAUUAUACGUAUUAUUUGAACGGUAACACUUUAUAUUAAGAUUCACAUAUUAGCCAUUAACUAGGUGCUUACUAAUAUGCAUAUAAGUAGCAUACUAGCCCUUUAUUAGUAUUUAUUAAGCAUGUAUUAACACCUUAUUCUACAUAGCCUUAUUCUAUCUCUAUUAUGCCAUGAAUUAAGCUUUUUCCCGAUAUUACCUCUUAAUUAUUGCUUAUUAAAUGCAUUGUUGUUUCUGAAUAAUGAUGUGAAUAACCAGUGGGUUAUUGGGGCCUUGUAAAGGGGCAGUAGCACAAGAAUAGUAAUUAUUCCUUUAUCACUCUGAAUUAGUAUAGUCUAUUCCUGUGGAAUGCAAUGCAAAACUACAAGUGUAAAUAUUACCCUAAUAACUAUAAAUUAAUAAUUUAAUUUAACUCAAAAUAUGUUCCCUAUUCUAAAGUGGGGUCAUAUUUAAUUCACAAGUAGUUGGAUCCUAUUGGUUUAACUUAAAGCAAGGAGAAGUGAGGUCUGAAUAGCCUAUUGGUAGAUUUCUCUGCAUGUCUUCUACAUAUAUGUCCAUUCUUCAGCGAGGAGUCUGAAGAUACAGUAUAGUCAAAUGAUUUUUUUACUUUUAUGUCUUACUCAAUGGUUCCUGCAAGUUGCAUUGAGAUCACAUUUUGUAGCCAAGGCUAUUGACCUGAAUGCCAUAUUGGCAUGUGUGCAAAUAAGAAAUUGUAGUUACAAAUCAAGAGACUUAGACAAUUGAAGAAACUGACUUCAAUAUACAGUACAAUGCUAAGUCAGAGACAUUUCUGUGGUUGAUCUAUCACAUAUUUGCUCAAGGUCUUCGUCUACAACAAGUGGAUAUGAUGCAAGAGGGGAUUACUCAGAGCUCUGCAACACUGACAAAACUUGCUGACAAGCUGCGGAGUGUUUGCAAAGCUGCAAUGAAGAGAAUGAGAAGAAGAGGCAAACAGACUAUUGGAAGAAGAGGGGAACUUGUUCUGAUAGAUGAGAGCAAAUUUGGUCAUAAAAGGAAGGUAGGCUAUGUAGACCACACAGACCACUCAAAUAUUGCUACACUGAUCUGUCUAACAAGUAUUGACCUGUAUGAUGUCAUUACAUAGCAAAACUGAUGAUUGAUUAUGCAUGAUUAUUUGAAUUCCAGUCCAAAAGAGGACAGGCAAGCAACAGGAGUUACUGGGUUUUUGGAAUGCUGGGCAUUAAGGAGGACAGGCGAAGACCUGUGUUUAAGAUAGUUCCUCACCGUUCAGACAAUCAUCUCCCCCUAAUAUAAAAGCACGUUCGACAGGGAAGCGCCAUCAUUUCAGAUGGAUGGAGAUCAUAUCACCGUCUUCAGGAUGAAGGUUACAAUCAUCUGACUGUUAACCACCAAAAAUGUUUUGUUGACCCUAUGAUGGUAAGGUGCACACACACAAAAUCUCGAGCGACUAUGGGGCAUUUGCAAAUCAACUUUAUGGAGAUUAAGAGGAAACCAUACACACAAUUUAUUGAAAGAUCACUUAGAUGUAAUUCAGUGGACUGACUGGCGUUGAAACGAACCCAGACAUGGACCACUGGGCCUGCUUUUGCAUGACAUCUGAAAAAAAUAUCCCGUGUGAAAUGAAGUUACAAAUUUGGGUCUUAUUUUCAUGAUCCAGUGCUUGCGUGUGAAUGUACUUCUGUUGUAUAUAGCAUUACUAAACUUUUACAGCCUUUUAGUGGUACAUUUUUUUUGUAGUUGGGGUUGUACAGAUGAAAUAAACACUGAGCUGUUGCACAUGCCAUUUUAAAUAUUGUGAACAAAUACUAAACCUGUCAGUUGUUGUUUUGUUUUUUUUUUGACUGGGCACUGGCUUCAAUUUGGACUCAUGUGUUUCCUCAGUGCUGCGCUUACUGUCACUGACAUAAUUAUGUUGUCCUUGAACAUACAUUUGCAUUGACCUGAGUCUUUGCAUUUAUUUUUGUUAAGAUGAAUGUAUAGCUUGACUGUUUACAGUUUACAAUAAAUGUACUUGUACUAACUGACUGUCUACUAACUGCUAGUUGUAUGCUAUAAUGAUGUAACUAAAUGCGAAGAGUCUGCAACUUAAGUAUGUGUGUUAAGUGUUAAGAUGAAUGUAUGGCUUGACUGUUUACAGUUUACAAUAAAUGUACUUGUACU